GGGCAGAUGUGUGAGUGUGCCUGUGCCUCGUCUCUGUGUGUAUGAGCACACACACACCUGUCUACCGUGUGUGUGACCUACGGAAUGACACAGACCCCUGGGGACAGUGGUGGCAAGGAUGCUGUUGUAUGUGCACCUGCUUGGAAGCAGGUCCAUCACUUCAGUACAGAAAUGCUUUUCUUCUGGUUUGCUGCUCUUUCCCCUGUCAGCAACAUGCACCAAAAUGUUGAAAACCUGAAAGGCAAGUAAAAGAUCUGUAAUAUUUCUCCUUCCUGCCUGCCUCUCCACCAUCUUCAUAUACACAGCUGCCUUCAACCUGUGUCCACGUAGGUCAAUUCCCAGUUCAUGAUGUCCUUUUAGCGAAUGGAAUGGUCCAGGUACUUGUGACAAAAUAUUGCACGAUGAAGUCUUUCCAUUGGAAUAAUUGACUGUAUUUCAUUUUGGUCCUUAAAAUAUAUAAACUUUGCCCAUCAAAUUUUGAGUUGGAGAAAAUUCGUUGAGGAGGCUAUUGUCAUCUGAAGACUCAUUGUCUGGAGUUUCCCUCAUACUAUCAAAUUCGUCAUUGUCCUUGGAGCCCAAGUCUGGCCGCCUCUGCCUUCAUCUUCUGAUACAUUGAAGGAUUGUGAAACAUCUUCCUUUAUUUUUUCCUCUUUGCCGUGAUAAAUGGAAAGCAAAGGAAUUCACUGUCUUCUACUAUGUUUGAUGCAAGCUACAAAGAUGGUGUGUCCAGUCUUCUCUUAUUCCUUCUUAAAGAUGAUGCCAUACUUUUGGCAAUGCAAUGGGAAAGCCUUGAAUGAUGCAGUUGUGUUGAUUUAUCUCAUUAUUGCAUUAUCCUCUGAAUCCAGGUCAUUCCACCAUUCUUCUUCUUCUUUCAUAUUGGUCAGAAAAACUCAUGAGUAAUGAUGAAGUAGCAAAUGUUAUUCGAUGACAUGGGAAAAUAAGCACCCUAAGUCACUUAGAUGUACAACAGGGUCCAAUGGAUGCUAUGGUAAUAUAGAAUUAAUCUUAUUUCUUUAAGAAAAAUAAGUAAUUUUUUUUCCUUUGGAAAACUUAUAAUAAAGAAUAAAAAUUAAGUGAUAACUAAUCCUUACAAAAAAUAGAACUGCUCAAAAAAGAAACUCAAAAAUUAAAACUCGGGAGUUCUGUGGUGCAGUGGGUUAAGGAUCUGUCAUUGUCACUGCAGUGAUUUAGGUCACGGCUGUGGCUCGGGUUCAUUCUUUGGCCCAGGAACUUCCACAUGCUGUGGGCACAGCCAAAAAAAAAAAAAAAAAAAAAAAAAAAAAAAGAGAUAAAAAUUGGAUCCAACAGAUCCUGAUGAGAGUUCAUUUUCUCCUCUAUUUUGAUGCAUAAGCUCAUCAAACUUCCUAUGAGUGGAAACUUGUUUUUCCACUUUAAUUGGUAUGUGGUAAAGAUGUGAUUUUGAGUAAAACAUAUUUUGGCUUUACUAACUUAGUAUAUUCUUUUUUUUGAAUUUUUAAAGUUUGUACUAAUUUUUCAUUAUUUUAGACUUAAACAGCCACAUGUGGCCAAUAGUUAGUAUAUUGUAUUGAACAGCACAGUUUUUCAAAAAUACUUCAUUGAAGAAUAGUUGACUUAACAAGUUGUGUUAGUUUCAGGUGUACAGCAAAGUGACUCAGUUAUACAUAUAUGUGUACCCAUUCCUUUUCCGAUUCCUUUCCCAUCUAGGUUAUUACACUGUUUUGAGUAGAUUACCCUGUGCUAUACAACAGGUCCUUGGUGGAUUAGUGUGGCCUUAGUUUUUGCAUUGAUCUUUUCCUUCCUUCCUUCCUUUUUUCCUUUUUAGGACUACACCUGCAGCAUAUGGAAGUUCCCUGGGUAGCGGUCCAAUAGGAGCUGCAGGUACUGGCCUGCACCACAGUCACAGCAACACCGGAUCCUUAACCUACUGAACGAGUCCAGGGAUCGAACCCGCAUCCUCAUGAUUACCACAGCAGGAAUUCUUGAAAUUUUAUUUUCAUAUAAUCUUUAAAAUAUUCAUGAUAUUUGUUCUUUCUCCACUUCUGUGACAUGUACUACUUAGAUUAUUUGAGAUGAAUCAAGAAAUCUGUGAUUCAUAGUGAAUAACGUAGAAAAGGCAUAUUCUGUUUUGAUUUUAGUUCCUCUCUCUCUAUAUAUAUAUUUUAUAAUGAUAUAAAAAUAG
rnacentral:lncRNA from 1 species